rnacentral:rRNA from 1 species
UACGUAGGGUGCAAGCGUUGUCCGGAAUUAUUGGGCGUAAAGAGCUCGUAGGCGGUUUGUCGCGUCUGCUGUGAAAACUCGGGGCUUAACCCCGGGCCUGCAGUGGGUACGAGCAGACUAGAGUGUUGCAGGGGAGACUGGAAUUCCUGGUGUAGCGGUGAAAUGCGCAGAUAUCAGGAGGAACACCGGUGGCGAAGGCGGGUCUCUGGGCAACAACUGACGCUGAGGAGCGAAAGCGUGGGGAGCGAACAGG